ACCGGCCCCUGAGGCGGUCGUGGCGGGGCGGGGAGGCGCGAGCGCCCCUCGGGCCCAGGGGCGGCUGUUUGUCCCGGGCGUUGGCUGUGUGGAAGCCGAGCAGCGCCUGGCGGCGGCCCCCGCGCCCCGGCCGGCCCCGUGCCCUGGCGGGAAGGCAGCCGGCCCGGGAGUCGUGGGAGGGGUCUGAGCCGCCAUUUAACGCCCCUGGGUUUCCCAGUAGCCAGGGGGUCGCGCUGGUGCUGCGGCCUCUCCCCGGCGCUCAGGUCACACCUGCGUCUGAUGGCGCCCGGGAGUGACGCGGGGCGGGGGGGCACUUUAGUGACCAGGCAAAACAGAACCAAAAAGUGCAGAGAAAAGCGGGGAGUUCGUAUUUACGGAUAUGCACCUGGUCAGAUGCUGAUCGUGGACGGAGUACGUGUCGUUACUGCUUGAAAAAUUGGUCAUAUGUUGUAACACUAAAUCACUAUGCCAAAUGUGGAUGUUGCAAUGCUAAUGCAAUAUAUGAGUGGUAUUUAGUACAUCUUUGUUAUGGUCAAGUAAAAAUAGCCAGACCAAUAAUGUAAAAUGCAGUUAAAAGUGAUUAUAAGCAUUCCUGUUAAAUUGGCUGCAGUUCAAAAUUGCAUACAAUACAGUACCAUACUGGAGCAGGUUCUUUAUCAUUUGCUUCUUUUAUUGCGGAUACUUAUAUUUGUCCCAUAAAUUUAUCGUAUGAAGUCAGCUCUUAAGUAUUGUUUGGUGUUCUUUAAACAGAUUUUGUACCUGUGACUGGUCCCUGACCUGACAGUAGGGAUGGAUAUCCGAUGGCCUGCGCUAGAUCUGUGUUGGUGGGGAAGAGGGAUGCUCUCCAGUGGAGCUCUGGUGUGUUGAGUCUGCUGCCCUGAUGGAGCGCCCCAGCACAGAUGCAGCUGCUAUAGGGCACAGCCAGCAAGGCUGGCUGGAAGGCCCCCAAGGAUGUUGCUUGGGAAGGACGAAUGCAAGAAGAACUGCACUGAGCCAUCAUUCCUCUCUUGCAGCCCAUGCCCAGCAAAGUGGUAAGGUUUAUGAAGUUAUAAAACAUAUAUAAUAUUAAUUAUGAAUCCAGAGCUUUGGAAGAAAAAUAUACUCAUGUCCAAGGACUGGGAUGGAACUGAACUAACUGCUUACAAAGCCACAGGAGGGAAAUAUGCUGAUUGGAUUCUUGUUUCCACACAUAGAUGGAUUUGUCUGAAAAACCAGCAGCACUUCCAUGCUGUUGAGCUGCCUUGAAGUACUGCUUUAUUUUCUUGUUUAAGAACAAUUUGUCCCCAUGGGUUUUUUGCAGACUGACUGCUAACACUUUCUUGUGCCUCCCCUGCCCCAAACCUGCUGCAUGUAAGCAGGUUUCUGGUCCUGUGUAUUGUCUGAUUUUUAGUUAAGAUACUGUGCUGCAGUGGCAGCCAGGAUUGUGGCUCAGUGUGCUGCAAAUGGAUUUGAGUUGUAGUGCCUUCAUCAAAAAAUCUUUUCUAGUCUACUUAUGUUCUGUGUCCCCUGCUGUUUGCUUCAGUGCACCCUGUUCCUUCUCUUCCUCCACACACGUUCUUCUUGAAAUUAUGCUACCAUGGUGACUUAUGUAGGAAGCUUUUCUUGUAAGAUUGGCACCUGUGUCAGUUAAAUAUAUAGGCCAUUUUACUAGUGUUCUAUUAGUGUGCCUUAAGCUAUACACACAGUGGUAACUGAGGCUGUGUGCAGUGUGGUAGGAAAAAAAAACUUGUUUAUACCUUAUAGGUAACUUAUUUGUGCUGCUGAACAGAAGCCAGGCCCUACACUAGAUUCUUCUAGUGAUACAAUGCUGUCAAGGUCUGUUUUGACAGCCAUGGUCUUGUGGUUCAUGGGAGGGUACCUACCUGCUCUGCCAGUCCCUAUUUUGUAUUUCUGUGGACAAAUGCUUGUGUCUGUUAUAACCCUGUCAAUGAGACUAAUUAAGGAAUUAAUAGAAGGUGCUUGCUUCCACACCUUCAGCAUGCUCAGAGAGACCUAGCAGCAGCUGCUGGUUAUACUCCUGGAAAUUCCUCAGCUAUAAUAAACACUGGCCUCCUUGUCUGUCACUCCCUUGGACUAGAAUGUGUCCUCUUAACUCUUAUCUUUAGCACUUGUUGCAUCUUUCAGCAGAGGAAAGUGAAACAUCCUGUAAUGAGUAACAUCUUAAAAACAGAGAUUUAAGAAAAAAAAAAUCCACUAAUCCUUGUUUGCCACACCUUUUAGCUUUCCUGAGUUCUUCUGGAGUUCACUCUGUAUCCUGUGCAUUUAUCACAGUCAGUAUCACACUUCCACUGCUAGGUACAGAGAGGUGGGUGAAGUCCUUGAUUGAUUUUGGGGAACACUCUUCUGCCUACCCCACUUGUCAACAACACCCCUUUGGCAAGGGGGCUCUUAGAAGACUGCCUGCACUGAAGCUGCAGCGUGGUAGCCCAUCUCCAGUGCCUUUAGGCCUGGGCAGCACCAGAGCGAAGUGAGAAGGGAGAGGGCAGCUCCCCUGUCAGGAGUCCAGGUGUGGAGCUGCGCUGUUGACAGCAUUGCCGCCUGGCUGCCAGACUCCUGCCAGUGCUGGAAACCGCAGCAGGCAGGAGCCAGCCUGCGUGUGGGAGAUUGUGCGGUAUCAGCUGCAGCUGUUGUGGCCACCUCCUUGCACGGGUGUGGUCAUUUAGUGCUAUGGCCAUAUUUAGAUUGGGAUAGUUUUUUUAAAGCUAAUACUUUAAUAGUUUUGCUUCAUUACAGCUUGCAAUUUGCAGUUUGUCUUCGAAUGGACUAGUGAGCUGAAAGUAAUUUAUGAAAUUAAUAAGAAAAUGCCUUUACCAAAAACAGUGUUUAAUUAAAAAAAAUUUAUUUCACACUUCUAUACAAAUAUCCACAGGUAAUUUCUAAUCAUGGAAUGAUGUAGCAUUGCUAGCUCGUAUAAAAACUGUUUGAGACAAAAGUAUACCAGUGACAAAUGUUCAAAGUGAAAGUAUACCAGUGAUACGACUUAUUUUCAAAACCUUUCAGUUUAACACUGUUGAGACAUUCAUGUUCUUACAGCAGUGCCACAAUUGAGGGGGGCAGGGUGGGGAAGACAUUGCUUUUAAAUCAAAGGCUACAUACAGUAGUUUGUCAAGCUUCUUAGCUCCUCAUUAGCCUUUCAGCAGGUAAGCUAGAAUUUUAAAAGGUCAAAAACUGGAUAACAGCUAUAUAUGUGUGUAAGUGUUCAUAAAAAUCAGGGUCACAACAUACCAAGAUUAUUCAGUAGAAGGAAGAAGAGCCUAUUAAAUGAAUGCACUUUCUAUAAUAGGUAUGUUCAAAGUUAAUAAUACAAAUAAGACACCUGACAAAGGCCCUCUUAGCAGGUUUUUACCCCUAGGAGGGCAAAAGUACAAAGAGGUUUUUGCAUAGUUCAAAUUACUAGCAAUUAGCGUGCAUACUUUGAGUAGAGUUUUGUUUUACAUGGAAUAAACAAUUGUGAGAUAAAUUUUCAUUCUUAAAUAGUACCAACACUUUAGAACAUGGGUUAAAAAAAAAAGUAAACUCUUUAAAUAGUUAUGUAUUUAAAUCACUUAUGUUACAAUAAUUAGAUUACUGAUAAGCACAACGUUGUGGCUCUAUUCUUAUCAACAUUCAGGUAUUCAAGACAAUUCAGUAGUCUCAAAGAGGAUCAGCUCAGAUCCCCAUAAUUAAGGUAAGUUAGGCCUUAUGGCCUCCUUCAAGUGCUAUACAACAGAUGCAGUAGUCAACACUUUUCUCCAAACAAAAUCUUCGUGAAGCUGUAAAGCUGUUUCCAGAGAACCUGUCACUUCUCUUGCAGUGAGUAUAAAACUGUAUUUAAAACCAUACUUCUGCUUAGUGUCCAAAUCGUUAAAUAUUCUGAAGUAAUAUACAAAUCAUGUUACAAGACCUGGUAAUUCUUAUUACGUAAAAUAAGUAUCAGGAAAAAAAGCCCCCACAUACAUCACUGGAAUAAAUAUUUACAUUUUUAGAAAGCAUUGGCACCUGUAGUGAUUUAUUAAAAUACUGUGAAAGCUUCAGGUCUUGUAAUCUGAAGUUCACAAACACAGUGGGUUUGAAGGUUCAGUUAAGUCUUUGGCCUAAUGGUUAGUCAAAGACAAUGAUUUAUAACAAAAAUAAAUACAAAAAUGACUAAAGUAUAUAUACAAAAAGUACAUCUAAUAUUCAAGCCUCUCUUUAAAAAAAACCUGUGUAUAUUUGGUGUGAGCAAGAUUCACACACUCUGAUCUUAAAAAUUGAGCAACAUGACCUAUUGCACAUGUAAUUUAAGAUGAUGCUUUUUGUUAAGCCCUAACUACUGUAGCAGGCAAAGCUUACAACUAAAGUAGAUUUGCAGCUCUUCAGAUUUCACUUGAACAAAGUGUGUCAAGGCCACUGUGUGCACUGAGGGAAGAAUGGAGACCCUAUCUUGACCUUAACCAUGCAUUCCUUGCACACCAGGAAUGUUAGGAUCAUAGGAAAAAGUCUGCCAUGGUGGAUGUGCAUAUUGCAGAAAAGACCCAAAUCAAUACAGCAUCUUCUAAAGUGUGAGUUAGAUGUGAAGGGGAAAAGAGGCAGUCUGGAAAUUAAAUAAUGCAAAUAAAGUCUGUUGAAGCAAUUUUAACUGUGCAAACAAAAGCCUCAAUAUAAGCAGUAAUAUCUACAAUCAAACAGUGAAUGUCCAUAGUGUACACAGGUCCAACUCCAUUGGUAUUCCAUUAAUGAAAACAACUGGCUAAACUCUGUGGAGGCAAAACAAACUUUUCCUUAAGAGUAACUUUCAUUCUCAUUCCAUUUUGUGAUCCACUGUUUUGUCUCAAGAUCAUUGCAUUUCCCAUCUUUGAUCUGUCGCUCUUCUUUUCGAAUUCUUACAGCAUGAUAUCGGGGGACACUGUCAUCGUACCUAGAACGCUGGAAGAACCCACACUGGGGCAGAGUAGAAAAGGAACAGUAUAAGUUGUUGCCAAAGUACUGUAAUUACAGAGGCAGCACAUUCUUCCUUUGCACAGAUAUACAGGGAGGUCUGCAGCAGGAGCUGGGCAUUUUUUGGAAAGGAAAGAAGCUGGGAUUAGCCUGUAAGAGGUGAUUUGCAGCAAGCAGUAGCUCCUCAGUGAGGCCAGUUGCAGCAGUUUCUCCAGAAGACAGAAAUGUGAAAUGACCAGAUGAAUAAAAACUUACCUUCCAUAGUAAGAAUACCAACAGUGCAAGCAUCAGUAUUCCAGCAAGAAUUGCCACUAAGAUGAUCCACCAAGGCACCCCUGUAUAAAGUGCUACCGUUUUUGCAGGAAAGACAGUAACACGCACCUAAAGUAAAGAAAAAGUGUGAAGAUGAUGUCUCUUCAGAUAAACUGGAAACAUGAUCAUCAUAAUCACACAUAGUUCGUGUAAAUGUUGAGCCUACCUGAGCAACUUCAUUUGUGAGUUUAACAUUCUCAGCUGCAGCAGGAACGCUGAUUGAAGCCCUAACGAGAAUGUCUAGAUAGUUCAUUUUGGAGUAUUCCUGUUUCAAAAUAAAAUAUGGACAUCAGACACAGAACAGGAAAGAAUUAUGAUUUCUCAAAAACGGCAGGUAAGCACACUUACUUCUAAGAAAGUACUGUUCCAGAGUCUGGAACGCAGCAAAAUAGAUGCUUUGCUGUCCAAACCAUUCAAGGGGCAUUUUAUAUCCACACAGCGUGCAUUCACAUUGCAGUCC